rnacentral:misc_RNA from 1 species
UCCCCGUUACCGGGGCAGUCUAGCUAGAGAAAUUCAACUAACUAUAAGGGUUGCGCUCGUUAAUGGACUUAACCAAACAUCUCACGACACGAGCUGACGACGGCCAUGCAACACCUGUCAUCGGGUUCCCGAAGGCACGGUCUCCUUUCGGAGACUUUCCCGAGAUGUCAAACCCUGGUAAGGUUCUUCGCUUAUCGUCGAAUUAAACAACACGCUCCACCGCUUGUGCGGGUCCCCGCCAAUUCCUUUAUGUUUUAAGCUUGCGCUCGUACUCCACAGGCGGGAUGCUUAACGCGUUAGCUUCGAUACUGCGUGCCAAAUUGCACCCAACAUCCAGUUCGCAUCGUUUAGGGCGUGGACUAC